GCUUCUCAUCUGACAUGUAACCAAAUGUUUUUGGCCGCUGGAAAAUCCUGCCAUUGGUCAGGCUCGGCAAUAGGCACAUCCCAUACACCUGGUGAUGCGCGCUCAGCCCCGCAUCCCGGCCCGGGGGGGACAAAGCCGGCAGCGGGGAUCUGUCAGGCCGCGUCCCGGCGCCAGCCCCGGGCCGGGAGCUCGGGCGAGCGCGAUGCCAGGUUAACAAUUUGCCUCCCUCCUGGACGCCGCGGCAGCCCUCCAUUUUGUCAGCCGCCUCAAUUUAAACCUUUUCCAAGGCGAAGGCAGAACUUGAGCAUUUCUUCGGGAGCCCUCCGGGGCUUUAAAGCAUCCCCGACCAUUUUGCGCAGCCCGCUCGGAGCCGGCGCUCCGGGCUAAGUUUAGCGGGGCAGCGGCGCACGCCGCGGCUCACGGGCAGCGCCGAGCCCCCCGCGGGCUCCUGCCCAUCGCUUCUCCCGGCGGCGCCUCCUCCCCGCACGGCUUCCUCCCCGCACGGGGACAGGCAGGUGGAUGUCGGGAGGAGGGCAAGGAAGGCACGGGAGGCAGGAGCCGCCGCGGGCAGCAGGGUGCCGGCAGCAGCCUUAGAAUCCCACAAUGACAGCAGCGACUACAAACAGCCGGGAAGAGCAGGCACAAGGAGAGAGGAACGAGCGAGAGAAAAGAGUUUUGCUGUGUGCCGCGGUGCCGUGCGAUGCACAACCACCCGGGUGUGAAGGCGUCACAUCCUCCUGUGGUAGUGCUAUGGGAUCGUACAGCCACAGAGUGUUUGAGGGAAGGGAGAGGAACUUAAAGUCAUCCAGAUCCAGCCCCUGUCACUGAGGGGGGCAGAGCACGCUCUGGGUCAUGUGGAACACUGGGGGCCUUUGCCCUUUAAAUAAACUCCUUAAAUAAAUUUAAAAAUCUGAAA